rnacentral:rRNA from 1 species
AGGGUGCAAGCGUUAAUCGCGGAUUCUGGGCGUAAGGGUGUGUAGGUGGUUGGGUAAGUUAGAUGUGAAAUCCCCGGGCUUAACCUGGGAACUGCGUUUAAAACUGCUCAGCUAGAGUAUUGCAGAGGGUAGUGGAAUUUCCAGUGUAGCGGUGAAAUGCGUAGAUAUUGGAAGGAAAACCAGUGGCGAAGGCGACUACCUGGGCAAAUACUGACACUGAGACACGAAAGCAUGGGGAGCAAACAGGAUUAGAUACCCUGGUAGUCCAUGCUGUAAACUAUGAGAACUUGCUGUUGGAUGCAUAAAGGCAUUUAGUAGCGAAGCUAACGCGUUAAGUUCUCCGCCUGGGGAGUACGGUCGCAAGACUAAAACUCAAAGGAAUUGACGGGGGCCCGCACAAGCGGUGGAGCAUGUGGUUUAAUUCGAUGCAACGCGAGGAACCUUACCUACUCUUGAAUCCACGGAAUUUUACAGAAAUGUAGAAGUGCCUUCGGGAA